CAGAGGAGAGGAGAGAAGAACAGAGGGAAGAGAGGCAGGGGAGAGGAGAGAGGAACAGAGGGAAGAGAGGCAGAGGAGAGGAGAGAGGAACAGAGGGAAGAGAUGCAGAGGAGAGGAGAGAGGAACAGAGGGAAGAGAGGCAGAGGAGAUGAGAGAGGAACAGAGGGAAGAGAGGCAGAGGAGAGGAGAGAGGAACAGAGGGAAGAGAGGCAUAUGAGAGGAGAAAGGAACAGAGGGAAGAGAGGCAGAGGAGAUGAGAGAGGAACAGAGGGAGGAGAGGAGACGAGAGAGGAACAAAGGGAAGAGAGGCAGGGGAGAGGAGAGAGGAACAGAGGGAAGAGGAGAGGAGAGGAACAGAGAGGAGAGAGGAACAGAGGGAAGAAACGAGAGAGGAAUGGAGAGGAACAGAGGGAAGAGAGGCAGAGGAGAGGAGAGAGGAACAGAGGGAAGAGAGACAGAGGAGAGGAGAGAGGAACAGAGGGAAGAGAGGCAGAGGAGAGGAGAGAGGAACAGAGGGAAGAGAGGCAUAUGAGAGGAGAAAGGAACAGAGGGAAGAGAGGCAGAGGAGAUGAGAGAGGAACAGAGGGAGGAGAGGAGACGAGAGAGGAACAAAGGGAAGAGAGGCAGAGGAGAGGAGAGAGGAACAGAGGGAAGAGGAGAGGAGAGGAACGGAGAGGAGAGAGGAACAGAGGGAAGAGACGAGAGAGGAAUGGAGAGGAACAGAGGGAAGAGAGGCAGAGGAGAGGAGAGAGGCAGAGGAGAGGAGAAUGGAACAGAGGGAAGAGAGGCAGAGGAGAGGAGAGAGGAACAGAGGGAAGAGAGGCAGAGGAGAGGAGAGAGGAACAGAGGGAAGAGAGGCAGAGGAGAGGAGAGAGGAACAGAGGGAAGAGAGGAGACGAGAGAGGAACAAAGGGAAGAGAGGCAGAAGAGAGAGCAACAGAGGGAAGAGAGGCAGAGGAGUGCAGAGAGGAACAGAGGGAAGAGAGGAGAGAGGGACAGAGGGAAGAGAGGAGACGAGAGAGGAACAAAGGGAAGAGAGGCAGAAGAGAGAGGAACAGAGAGGAGAGAGGAACAGAGGGAAGAGAGGCAGAGGAGUGGAGAGAGGAACAGAGGGAAGAGAAGCAGAGGAGAGGAGAGAGGAACAAAGGGAAGAGAGAUGAGAGGAGAGAGGAACAGAGGGAAAAGUGGAGGAGAGAGGAACAGAGGGAGGAGAGGAGAGGAGAAAAGAGGGGAGAGAGGAGAUGAGAGGAGAGAGGAACAGAGGGAGAAGUGGAGGAGAGAGGAACAGAGGGAGGAGAGGAGAGGAGAAAAGAGGGGAGAGAGGAGAUGAGAGGAGAGAGGAACAGAGGGAAGAGAGACCGAGGAGAGGAGAGAGGAACAGAGGGGAGAGAGGAACAGAGGGAAGAGAGUUAGAGGAGAGGAGAGAGGAACAGAGGGAGAAGUGGAGGGGAGAGAGGAACAGAGGGAGGAGAGGAGAAAAGAGGGAUAGAGCAGAGGAGAGGAGAGGAAUGGAGAGGUUUGGAGAGGAGAGGAACAGAGGGAAGAGAGGCAGAGGAGAGGAGAGAGGAACAAUGGGAAGAGAGGCAGAGGAGAGGAGAGAGGAACAAUGGGAAGAGAGUAGAUGAGAGGAACGGAGAGGAGCUGAACAGAUGUAAAAGAGAGGAACAGAGUUAAGAGAUGCAGAGGAGAAGAGAGAGGAACAGAGGGAGGAGAGGAGAUGAAUGGAACGGAGAGGAGAGGAGAGAGGGACAGAGGGAAGAGGGCAGAGGAGAGAGGAUCAGAGGGAAGAGAGACAGAGGAGAGGAAAUAGCGUUAGUGGAGAGAUAGAUAACUAACUGUUGUUGCCUGUUCCAGCUGUACGCCUACACACCUGAGUAACAGGGUUGGAGUCAAGCAGAGAAGACAAUAGUGUUGCCUGUUGCUGGUGGGGAGAUAGCAGCCAACUGUUGCAGCUUGUUCAAUCACGCAUACAUCUAAACCCCUGUGGAUGUGGACUACAUAGGAAAUAGAUAUUCCGAUUUGAGCAGAUCCCUGACGAAGACCCAGUUCGGGUGGAAACGUUGUUUUCGUCAUCACGUACGAGUGAUAUCUCUGAAGACGUUUGUUCCAGCCGUUGCGUUUGAGUAAACAUACCAGGCAUUCGCCUACUCUCCUGGGGGUGGAAUGAACAUGGAAUGUGUCGGGAUGGUUCUGAGGACAGAAGUCAGUCAACCACAGCCCUUCCUGCCCUCCGGGCCUCUUCUGUUUAGCUGCGGAGCUGGCCACUCAAUGGCAUUGUGUGCAAUGACGAAAGAGGAACCCUGGAUCUCUGUCAGAGUGACCGUCGGGUUCUUGGUCACCUCCCUGGCCAAGGUCCUUCUCCCACGAUUGCUCAGUUUGGCCUUGCGGCCAGCUCUAGGAAGAGUCUUUGUGGUUCCAAACAUCUUCCAUUUAAGAAUGAUGGAGGCCACUGUGUUCUUGGGGACCUUCAAUGCUGCAGAAAUGUUUUGGUACCCUUCCCCAGAUCUGAGCCUUGACACAAUCCUGUAUCGGAGCUCAACGGACAAAUCCUUCGACCUCAUGGCUUGUUUUUUGCUCUGACAUGCACUGUCAACUGUGGGACCUUAUAUAGACAGAUGUGUGCCUUUCUAAAUCAUGUCCAAUCAAUUUAAUUUACCACAGGUGGACUCCAAUCAAGUUGUAGAAACAUCUCAAGGAUGAUCAAUGGAAACAGGAUGCACCUGAGCUCAAUUUAGAGUCUCAUAGCAAAGGGUUUGAAUACUUAUGUAAAUCAGUUGGAUUUCUGUUUUUUAUUUGUAAUAAACUAGCAACAUUUUAUAAAAAACCUGUUUUCACUUUGUCAUUAUGGGGUAUUGUGAUGUCAUUAUGGGGUAUUGUGAUGUCAUUAUGGGGUAUUGUGAUGUCAUUAUGGGGUAUUGUGUGUAGAUUGAUCAGGAAAACAUUUAUUUAAUCUAUUUUAGAAUAAAGCUGUAGAGAUCAUACAGUUAGCAGAAUAUGCUACAAUUUCAUUGUGUAAGUUUAUCUGUGCAAAGAAAUUACGAUUUGAGACUCAUCGGGAGCCUAAAAACAUUGAUGUCACCGACAUAUGAAAUUAUCAACAUCAUCGACCAAAUUGACAUAAAAAGAAGAUAGACAAAGAACCUUCUUCAAAAAAAUAAAUCAACACACUGAAAAAUAAUG